rnacentral:tRNA from 1 species
GGAGGCGUUUCCGGCCUGGUGACCGGUGCGGUCUUCAAAACCGUUGAGGCCGGGCACUCUCGGUCUGGCGGGUUCGAUUCCCGUCCGCCUCCGCCA